rnacentral:hammerhead_ribozyme from 1 species
GUGCUGAUGAAGAGUCCCAAACUAGGGCGAAACAGCUGUCCAGUAC